CCUACGGGUGGCAGCAGUGAGGAAUAUUGGUCAAUGGGCGGGAGCCUGAACCAGCCAAGCCGCGUGAAGGAAGAAGGCGCCAAGCGUCGUAAACUUCUUUUGUCGGGGAACAAAGGGCGCCACGUGUGGCGUUGUGAGUGUACCCGAAGAAAAAGCAUGGAGGAACACCUGGCCCGCCGCCGCGGUAAUACGGAGGAUGCGAGCGUUAACCGGAUUUAUUGGGUUUAAAGGGUGGGUAGGCGGUCCGGAAAGUCAGCGGUAAAAGCCCGGGGCUCAACCCCGGCGCGCCGUUGAAACUGUCGGACUAGAGAGGGCGAGAAGUACGCGGAAUGCGCGGUGUAGCGGUGAAAUGCAUAGAUAUCGCGCAGAACUCCGAUUGCGAAGGCAGCGUACCGGCGCCGGACUGACGCUGAGGCACGAAAGCGUGGGGAUCGAACAGGAUUAGAUACCCCAGUAGUC
rnacentral:rRNA from 1 species